UAUUUACCCAAGAGAAAGAAAAUAGAUGUCCCUACAAAGACUUGAGACACGAAUGUUUGUAACAGCUUUAUUUGUAAUAGCCCCAAAAUGGAAACAAACCAAAUGUCCAUCAACAGAUGACUGGAAUAACAAAUUGUAGUACAGCUGUACAAUGGAAUAGUACUCAGCAAAAAAAUGGACUUUUGAUACAUGCAAUGACAUGGGUGAAUCUUAAAAUAAUUAUGCAGAGUUAAGCUAGACAACAAAGAGUAGAUACUAUGUGAUUCUGUUUAUUUAAAACUAGAAAAUGCAAACUAUCAUCACGGAAAGCAUAUCAGUGGCUGCUUGGGAAUGGGGGAGUGAGGCUAAAGAAAGGGAGGAAUUACAAAGGGGCACAGAAAACUUUUGGAGAUAAUGGGUAUGUUCAUUGUUUUGGUGGUGAUCAUUUCAGGUGUGUAUACAUAUUUUAAAACAUCAAUUUGUGGCCGGGCGCGGUGGCUCAUGCUUGUAAUCCCAGCACUUUGGGAGGCCGAAGCGGGCAGAUCACGAGGUCAGGAGAUCGAGACCAUCCUGGCUAACACGGUGAAACCCCAUCUCUAUUAAAAAUACAAAAAAUUAGCCAGGCGUGGUGGCAGGCACCUGUAGUCCCAGCUACUCGGGAGGCUGAGGCAGGAGGAUGGCAUAAACCCGGGAGGCAGAGCUUGCAGUGAGCCAAGCGCCACUGCACUCCAGGCUGGGCUAGAGUGUGAGACUCCGUCUCAAAAAAAAAAAAAAAAUCAAUUUGUAUACUUUAAAUAUAUGCGGUUUAUUUUAUAUAUAUAUGUUAUAUCUCAAUGAGCUAGUUUAAAAAAAACAAUAACAUACUACUUCCUACACACCAGAUAGACUACAAUUAAAAGUAUGGGCAAUACUAAAGGUAUGGAGAAACAGAACUUUCAUCAUUGCUGGUAGGAGUCUAAAUACGCCCAAUUACUUUGGAAAACUAGCAGAAUUUACUGCAGCUAAACAAACACCUAUCCUAUGACCCAACAAUUCCAUUGCUUGGACUAUAGUCAAGAGACAUGAGUGCAUAUGUCUACCAAAAACACCUAUAAGAAUAUCCAUAGUAACUAUUCAUAUUUACCAAAGGAAUGAAAAAAAUUCAUCAGUAGUUGAAUUGAUAAAUUCUGGCAUAUUCAUACAAAGUAAUACUACACAGAAAAAAAUGAGCCACUGCUACAAAGUGGCAACACAUGGAGGAAUUUCAGAGACAUAAUGUUGAGUGAGACAAGCUGACAUGAAGAAAACAUACUCUCUGAUUCCAUUAUUAUGACACCCAGAACAGGAAAAAACUAAUGGUGACAGAGAUAAAAAUACUGUCUACUGGGCGCCUGUAGUCCCAGCUACUCGGGAGGCUGAGGUAGGAGAAUGGCGUGAACCCGGGAGGUGGAGCUUGCAGUGAGCCGAGAUAGCGCCACUGCACUCCAGCCUGGGCGACAGAAUGAGACUCCAUCUCAAAAAAAAAAAAAAAAAAAAUACUGCCUACCUUUGAAGAAAUGUUGAUUGGAAGGAGGCAUAGGGAGACUUUGGGUUACUGGAUAUAUUCUGUAUGUUGAUAUUACGUUUUACACAUCUGUGUUUCUCUUAUAGAUGGUUAACACAGGAGUUACACGGGGAGUAUGUAAAAAUUCUUUCAACUGUACAUUUAAAAUGUGUUAACUUAGUAAAUAUAAUACACCAAUGAAAAGUAAAAAAAAUAAAUAAAUGAACAGACACUCAAAUUCCAUGAUUUAACGAGAGAGACUGGUAAGGAGAAACACGGAUAUGUAAAACAUAAUUUCAAGAAAAUAGGCAGUGGAAAUUUCACAAAGAAUUUUAAAUUAUAAAUACAGAGUUGCUCUUGUUAUUUUUUCAGGAAUUCUUAGUUGGCUCUGACUUCCUCCUCCCAAACUAGUUGUCUCCCAAACCUAAUUGUCUGUGAGUUAUUAAGGAUUACUGAAAAUUUGUUUUAAUAAACUAAAAUUAGCACAUUAAUAGGGUUUAGUGAUUACUCUAAAUUAGUAUCCUACAAAGAAGUCUGGCUGCGUGCAAUGUUAACUGUACAUAAAUAGUUAGAAUUCCCCUAAUUUUCAGAAAGGAUGUUUUGCUAUCAGUCCCAUGGUUUUCGGUUCCUGCCUUUUUGCUUUGUAAUGAUCAUUUCCCGUAAGUGUAGAUUUACAUCACAAUGCUUUAUGUUUAUAAUUAUAAUUAACAACAUAUAUGCAUUUUGCUUCAGAUGUUAAUAUUCAUAAGCAUAAUGCUAAAGUAGAUGUAUAUAAUUCAACCAAACUUGACUUUUUAAGUGACAGUUCAUCAUAAUUACUCAGUACUUUUUCCUCAGAAAAGUAGCAACAGGUGGAGUAAAGUAGGUUUUGGGAUAGUUUUCUGAGGUAUUGCUCCUCACACUUGAGGGCAUUAGCUGCAGGGGUCUGCCCUCAGACCCUGACCCAAAUGACAGAAGAAUAAAACAUACAUUGACACGUAGAUAUUGUUAGAAGCUGGAAAGGGAGUGUCUGCCUAGAUGAUAGGACUGAAAAAAGGCAGAUUUAAGGGAUGAGCUUAAUAGAGUGUAGCAGGUAUAGGUAGUAGGUAAAGUGAGAGAAUUUAAAAUGAAUAAAUUAUCUGGCUUAGACUUUUCCUUCUUUAGCAUAAUGCCUGGGACCUGUGUUGUCUUCGGAAGCCACAUUGUUGAGGCUGCGGGUCCUGUAUGUCUUUUCUCAGGCUGGCUUGAGUUUUUUCUUCUUUCCAUCCUUUGAUAAGAAUGUAGUCUCCAGGCUGGUGCUGGUGUACUGGAAAUUCUAGGGGUGGUGCCUGUGCUGAGAGACUUUUUACAGCUGACUUGACCGCGCGGUUCCUUUCUUCACCUUUGUUUUCCGGGGGGUCCGUCGCUUUUCCUUCACGCUUCCUUCGCAGCUUUCCUCAUGAGGGCAGUCCUCACUCUUCCUAGGCAGCUUGCCUCAGGAGGGGCUCCAACUGCGGGGAGUCUGUUUCUGCAGACCCCUGACUGGCCUCACACGGCUUUCCUCACAGGGCUUUCCUCACACGGGUUUCCUCACACAGGCCACCAGCUGAGGUAUUGCUCCUCACACGUGAAGGCAUUAGCCGCGGGGUCUGCCCUCAGACCCUGACCCAAACGACAGAUGAAUAAAACGUACACUGACACACAGAUAUUCUGUUUUGCCAGUCCAGCUGAGUGUCCAGCCGCCUGCACACCUAGAGAGGUUUGUCACUGUGGACGGCCCUGAGCAGCUCGAACUCCAGGCAUUUAUUUAGUAUACAAUUAACAACAGAAGCUUUGAGUAAACUUGAGUAAACACACUUUGAGUAAACUUGAGUAAACACACUUGUGGAUAAUUAACAUGGUUAAGAGAGUAGUUCUAGGAAUGAUUAAAACUCAGGUACCACGGUCUCAGGUAAAUACUAUCAGGCCUCUCAGCCCAAGCUAAGCCAGAUGGCCUGAAGCAACUGA
rnacentral:lncRNA from 10 species